UCGAGUUAGGGUCUUCUCGGGCCCGACCUCCCAACCCUAUGUUUACCAAACCUAUGUUGCUUCGGCGGGCCCGUCUCACGACCGCCGGAGGACCGUAAGACGUCCUCUGGCCCGUGCCCGCCGGUGGCCCAACAUCAAAUUCUGAUUGAAACGUGUCAACCUGUCUGAGUGUCAUUUUUUAAUUAAAAGUA
rnacentral:misc_RNA from 1 species